rnacentral:pre_miRNA from 1 species
GUCCUCAGAUACAAUGGACAAUAUGCUAUUAUAAUUGCACGGCAUUGUCCUUGCUGUUUGGAGAUAA